CUCAGAUUUUCUCAGCUCUUCUUCAUCUGAUUCUUGCCCUCAAUAUGUGGUUUCUCUGAUGGAGGGAUGAGACCGAGCAGCUCACGGCAUAGCUCAGGGGAUGACAAGGCUUACAGCAUGGACGCCAACAAAUGCUGCCUCUGUGACCCUCCCACUCCCCUGCACCAGUGCAAUACCCUAGGAGAAUGUCUCUGACACUUGGAAGACUGCUAGUGUUCAUCUAAAAACCAGAGUGAAAUUCAGACACACAGAGAAAACAAGAAGCUGAAACAGAACCCAGAAAAGAAGGGAGAGAACAGGAGACACUGCCAUGUGCUUUGCCAUGUGAUGAAGAACCCAAGGACCACUGGCAACAAGCACCAGAACUCCACAGUCUUUGCGAGAAAGCAUUGCCUUGAUGAUGCCUUGCUUUGGAGUUUCUUUUAGCCUCAAAACC